rnacentral:lncRNA from 1 species
CAAUCUACUACCUAAUAGUUUUAAAAUGUUUAAUAAAAAAAAUUGAUUAAUUUGAAAAGUAUUAAAUAAAAGUGGCAUAUGAUAGAUGGAAGGUAGUAAAAGAAGUAAUAAUAAAUGCAGUUCCACUAGUCAAUGUUUUUAAUAUAAUCAUAAAUAUAAAUAUAUAUUUUCUAAGAAAAUUAUAAUAUAGAAGUAUUUUUAAAUAUUAGAUU